GUACAAUAAGCAAAAUAAGGGCGUAUGGGGGAUGCCUAGGCUCUCAGAGGCGAAGAAGGACGUGAUAAGCUGCGAUAAGCUUCGGGGACUGGCACAUACAGAUUAAUCCGAAGAUUUCCGAAUGGGGCAACCCACUAUGUUGAAGACAUAGUACAUCGAUAGAUGGGCAAACCCGCUGAACUGAAACAUCUAAGUAGGCGGAGGAGAAGAAAACAAAAGUGAUUCCGUAAGUAGUGGCGAGCGAACGCGGAUUAGCCCAAACCAGUGUUGUUACGGCAAUACUGGGGUUGUAGGACCACGACAUUUCUUGCGGAUUGAAUUAGAACUACCUGGAAAGGUAGGCCAUAGACGGUGAUAGCCCGGUAUAAGUAAGAGAAGAUAAGGAUAGUGGUAUCCUGAGUAGGGCGGGGCACGUGAAACCCUGUCUGAAUUUGGCGGGACCAUCCGCUAAGGCUAAAUACUCCUGAGAGACCGAUAGUGAACCAGUACCGUGAGGGAAAGGUGAAAAGAACCGUGAAUAACGGAGUGAAAUAGAUCCUGAAACCAUACGCUUACAAGCGGUCGGAGCCCUUUCGUGGGGUGACGGCGUGCCUUUUGCAUAAUGAGCCUACGAGUUACCGUUGCUGGCAAGGAUAAGUGUUUAAG
rnacentral:rRNA from 1 species